rnacentral:rRNA from 1 species
AUUGAACGCUGGCGGCAUGCUUUACACAUGCAAGUCGAACGGUAACAGGCCGCAAGGUGCUGACGAGUGGCGCACGGGUGAGUAAUGCAUCGGAACGUGCCCAGUCGUGGGGGAUAACUACUCGAAAGAGUAGCUAAUACCGCAUACGAUCUAUGGAUGAAAGCGGGGGACCGUAAGGCCUCGCGCGAUUGGAGCGGCCGAUGUCAGAUUAGGUAGUUGGUGGGGUAAAGGCUCACCAAGCCAACGAUCUGUAGCUGGUCUGAGAGGACGACCAGCCACACUGGGACUGAGACACGGCCCAGACUCCUACGGGAGGCAGCAGUGGGGAAUUUUGGACAAUGGGCGCAAGCCUGAUCCAGCAAUGCCGCGUGCAGGACGAUGGCCUUCGGGUUGUAAACUGAUUUUGUACGGAACGAAACGGCUCUGGUUAAUACCCGGGGCUAAUGACGGUACCGUAAGAAUAAGCACCGGUUAACUACGUG